rnacentral:lncRNA from 1 species
ACCCAUUUCAUAGAUUUUUUAUGAGGUCUAUGAUUUUCAUCAGUUUAGUAAACUCCCUCUAGAAAUUCAAAUGAGGGGGAAGCUAGGUGGCUAAGAGGAAGGAAGGAAGGAAGGAAGGAAGGAAGGAAGGAAGGAAGGAAGGAAGGAAGGAAGGAAGGAAGGAAGGAAGGAAGGAAGGAAGGAAGGAAGGACGGAAGGAAGGAAGGAAGGGAGGGAGGGAGGGAGGGAGGACGGAAAGAAGGAAGGGAGGGAGCCAACUCUAAAUGCUCCAGUGGUGUAAUAUAGAAAGAAAGAAAGAAAGAAAGAAAGAAAGAAAGAAAGAAAGAAAGAAAGAAAGAAAGAAAGAAAGAAAGAAAGAAAGAAAGAAAGAAAGAAAGAAAGAAAGAAAGAAAGAAAGGAAGGAAGGAAGGAAGGAAGGAAGGAAGGAAGGAAGGAAGGAAGGAAGGAAGGAAGGAAGGAAGGAAGGAAGGAAGGAAGGAAGGAAGGAAGAUGCUAGGGAAUAUUCACACAAACCAGCCAUCUCUCCAUGUCCUUUGUGUCACCUUCAAUUUGGCUUCUUCAGAGAUCCUGGUGUUCCUGAUUUGCAGAUAUAAGCCAUCCCUUAGGAAAUGCUGGAGUUGAAAAGAUGGGCAUUUGUUUCAAAGAACUACUCAAGACCAAAGUCCCACAAUAUACCCCAACUACAGUUUAGCCCCAAACUCUUCCUCCUAUUAAAUUCUGUGCCCAAACUAUUGUCAGUUUGCUUUACCCAUUCAAGAUCUAUAAACUGUCCAUCCAACUGCAUACCACAAGCUGGACAAGGUGCAUUUUUAAUCCAUCUUGUUUUUCUUCCGUAUAUUUCUAGGCCAGUCCCUUUUGAGUGGCCAUGGAACUGAUAGAGAUAUAGUAUCCUAGGUUUUGAAUUAUAUAUCUAUACUAUCACACUAUAUCCUUUUUUCUAUAUAUAUCUAGAGGAACUCACUAUCUAUAAGGAAU